GUUGCUAGCUCAGUUGGUAGAGCAUGAAACUCUUAAUUUUAGGGUUGUGGGUUCAAGCCUCACAUUGGGUGAAAUA
rnacentral:tRNA from 1 species